AUUGAACGCUGGCGGCAGGCCUAACACAUGCAAGUCGAACGAGUGGCGGACGGGUGAGUAAUGUCUGGGAAACUGCCCGAUGGAGGGGGAUAACUACUGGAAACGGUAGCUAAUACCGCAUACCAUCAGAUGUGCCCAGAUGGGAUUAGCUGGUAGGUGGGGUAAAGGCUCACCUAGGCGACGAUCCCUAGCUGGUAUGAGAGGAUGACCAGCAACACUGGACCUGGGACACGGGCCAGACCCCGACGGGCGGAAGCAGUGGGGAAUAUUGCACAAUGGGCGCAAGCCUGAUGCAGCCAUGCCGCGGGUGUGAAGAAGGCCUUCGGGUUGUAAAGCACUUUCAGCGGGGAGGCGUUACCCGCAGAAGAAGCACCGGCUAACUCCGUGCCAGCCGCCGCGGUAAUAC
rnacentral:rRNA from 1 species